rnacentral:rRNA from 1 species
GAUGCGAAAGGCGUGGGGGAGCAAAACAAGGGAUUUAGAUACCCUGGUAGUCCACGCCGUAAACGAUGUCUACUUGGAGGUUGUGGCCUUGAGCCGUGGCUUUCGGGAGCUAACGGCGUUAAGUAGACCGCCUGGGGAGUACGGUCGCAAGAUUUAAAACUCAAAAUGAAUUGACGGGGGCCCGCACAAGCGGUGGAGCAUGUGGUUUAAUUCGAUGCAACGCGAAAGAACCUUACCUACUCUUUGACAUCCAGAGAAUCCUGCGGAGACGCGGGAGUGCCUUCGGGAACUCUGAGACAGGUGCUGCAUGGCUGUCGUCAGCUCGUGUUGUGAAAUGUUUGGGUUAAGUCCCGCAACGAGCGCAACCCUUAUCCUUGUUUGCCAGCGAGUAAUGUCGGGAACUCCAGGGAGACUGCCGGUGAUAAACCGGAGGAAGGUGGGGACGACGUCAAGUCAUCAUGGCCCUUACGAGUAGGGCUACACACGUGCUACAAUGGCGCAUACAGAGGGCAGCGAACUUGCGAGAGUAAGCGAAUCCCAAAAAGUGCGUCGUAGUCCGGAUUGGAGUCUGCAACUCGACUCCAUGAAGUCGGAAUCGCUAGUAAUCGUGAAUCAGAAUGUACAACGGUGAAUACGUUCCCGGGCCUUGUACACAC